AUAUUCAUUGCUCUCACAUAUGACGCGUUCCAAUCGGAUAGGGUCAUUCUUUGGACAAGGAUCUAAGUUGCUGCCUGUGACACAUGCCUUUGAGGGCUUCCUCAAAACUGAAUGGCACAGCCACAAUCUUCAUGUCAUUCAUGUAUGAUCUCUCCCAGAGGGAUUGUGUCCACAGCCAUGGAGACAAGACCAAGUUUGAAGAACCAUAAUGCCAAUGGCUUCAUUUAUAGUUCUGAUAAAAAGAAAAUCCUUGUCCUUACAAUAACAAUGACCAUACUUUUCACUGAUUUCUCAUAUAUCGUGAACUCAAAGCAGGUCACAGUAGUGUUUUGAAUGAAUCUUUGCCAGCUUCCCAAGUGCAAAGGGCAUCAGGUUCCUCCAAGUUCAAGUGAUACACAUAGGGUACUUUUACUGGCUACAGUCCUGGACCCACCUCCUUUCCCAGCAUAUAAACAGUGCAGGCUGGCCUCACUGAAUCAGAGCUGGCUACAAAGGGAGGAUACAGCAUUGCAAACCACAGGACACUCAGCUGGAAGGAAAAGUCAGAGGAAAACUUCUUGAAGGAGAGUAGCUAUGGACCUAAUCCCCAACUUUCCCACAGAAACGUGGGUGCUUGUGGUUACCAGCCUGGUGCUCCUCUACCUAUAUGGGACCUAUACACAUGGACUUUUUGCAAAGAUGGGAAUUCCUGGACCAAAACCUCUGCCCCUUUUGGGAAACGUCCUGUCCUAUCUCAAUGGUAUAGGGAACGUUGAUCUAGAGUGCAAUAAAAAGUAUGGGGAAAUGUGGGGAUUUUAUGAUGGUCGACAGCCAGUGUUAGCUAUCACUGAUUCAGAGAUGAUCAAAACAGUGCUGGUGAAGGAAUGUUACUCUGCCUUCACAAACCGCCGGAGUUUUGGUCCAGUGGGAUUAAUGAGAAAAGCUAUCACCAUAAGUACAGAUGAAGAAUGGAAGAGAAUAAGAAGUCUGCUGUCCCCGACUUUCACCAGUGGAAAACUCAAGGAGAUGUUUCCCAUCAUCAAACAAUAUGGAGACAUCUUGGUGAAGAAUCUGAGACGAGAAGCAGAGAAAGGCAAGCCUGUCACUCUGAAGGAAAUCUUUGGGGCCUACAGCAUGGAUGUGAUCACAGGGACAUCAUUUGGGGUGAACAUCGAUUCCCUCAACAACACAAAGGAUCCCUUUGUGGAAAAAGCCAAGAAACUCUUACGAUUUGAUUUUUUUGAUCCGUUGAAUCUCUCUGUGGCCUUGUUUCCAUUCCUUACCCCAUUAUAUGAGAUGUUAAAUUUAUCCAUGUUUCCACAUGACUCUGUGAACUUUUUCUGCGAAUUUGUAAAAAGGAUGAAAGACAAUCGUCUGGAUUCAGACCAGAAGAACAGAGUGGAUUUUCUCCAACUUAUGAUGAACUCUCAGGAUUCCAAUGAUAAAGAGUCACAUAAAGCUCUGUCUGAUCUGGAGAUUGCAGCCCAAUCCAUUGUAUUUAUUUUUGCUGGCUAUGAGGCAAAUAGCAGUGCACUUUCCUUUAUCAUGUAUGAAUUGGCCACUCACCCCGAUAUCCAGAAGAAGCUGCAGGAGGAGAUUGAUGCGGCUUUACCCAAUAAGGCACCUGCCACAUACGAUGCCCUGGUAGAGAUGGAGUAUCUGGACAUGGUGGUGAAUGAAGCUCUCAGAUUUUACCCCAUUGCUAACAGAGUUGAGAGAGUCUGUAAAGAAGAUGUUGAAGUCAAAGGGGUGUACAUUCCAAAAGGGACAGUGGUGAUGAUACCUGCCUUUGCUAUUCACUAUAACCCCAAGUACUGGCCAGAGCCUAAGGAGUUCUGCCCUGAAAGGUUCAGCAAGAAGAACAAAGACAACAUUGAUCCAUACACAUACCUGCCCUUCGGAGCUGGGCCCAGAAACUGCAUCGGCAUGAGGUUUGCUCUCAUGAACAUCAAACUUGCUGUCAUCAGAGUCCUGCAGAAUUUCUCCUUCCAACCCUGUAAAGAAACCCAGAUUCCUCUUGUAUUAAGCAAGAAGUUACUCCUUCAACCAGAAACUCCUAUUGUUCUAAAUGUUAUGCUGAGAGAUGGAGCAUAAAUGGAAUAUGAAUUUCCUUCAGGAGUACUGCUAUGUUCUUCAGGAACACCUCCUUCAGGAGUACUGCUAUGUUCUUCAGGAACACCAGAGAUUUUAACUUACUGUGUGAUUAAAAUAAU